rnacentral:lncRNA from 1 species
UCUCAAAUGUACUUAUUGUCUUUGCUGACCUCCAAUCUCCCCUCUCCCACUACCUAUUAAACACCUCAAACCGGAUGUCCUCUAGACAUCUCAAACUCACCAUGUUCAAAACUGAACUUACCUUUCCCCCUGAAACCCUCUCUUCUUUCUAACUUCCCUAUUACUUUUGAGAGCACCAUCAUCCUCCCAGUCACCCAGACUUGUAAGCAAGAUACAAUUAUCAACUCCUCACAAAAAAGGUCUUCAGGUCUCAAAAGGUCUAGACUCACUUGCCUUAUCAGCUGACUAACGUGAUGUUGCAUGAUCAUACGAUAUACCUUAACUGAAGUAAUCUAGCCCUGGCAGCUGUUAAACCAGGAAGACUCAGAAUGUUGGAAGUAACUAUGUCAACUGAGAGGACUUGCCCAGAGUUAAUAGGACCUAUGAUGCCCAUUGACUUAACUUUUAUUGGAACCCUGCCCUGGAACCUGGGACUCUUACAUCUUCCUGUUGUGGAUGAUGGUGAUUGGAGCUGAGGGAAUGAGUCUGAGACUUCCUGAAGCUGAGGGGUCUUUUGGGUGAGACCAGACCACAAGAGGCAGUUGGGACCAUUUUUCUUUCCCCUUGCUCAUUGAUAGGAUCUUAACACAAAGUCCUCUGUCCCCUACCUUAACUGUUAGACAUUUACUUCAUUCUCCACUUCUGAGAAAAGCGAUUUGUCCUUCCCUGGCUAUUAGACAAAAAUGGAUUGUAUCUAAGCUUUUGUUUUCUAACUGUUAUCUUUAAACUCUUAUGCAUUUCAUCUUUUGAUAUAAAACUAGUGGC